AGCCAGGCCCAACAAACAUUCAUCGCGUCGCGGAGACUAAACCACAACAGCCUUCCCCGUCGAGAGACAAGAUGGGCCCGGAGCUGGCAAAGCCUCAGAAUUGAUUGAGGCUGCAGUAAAAAAAAGAAAAGAAGGGGCACAAGUAUUCAAGUAUUUAGAAGAUGCCACCUAAAAGAGGUAAUAUCAAUGAGGAAGAACUAGAGGACAUAAAGAAAUCUUUGAACUUUAUGUCAGAAGAGAUUACAACCAUUGCAAAACAACAAAAACUGAUAAUCAAUUUAACUGAGGAUAUUAAAGAAUUAAGAAGGCAAAGUGAGGAAAAGGACAAGAAGAUUACUAUGUUGGAAGUACGAGUGGCAGAAUUGGAACAAUAUUCGAGGAUAUCAGAUGUAAUAGUAACGGGUCUGGAAACCAAGCACCAGACAUAUGCACGAGCAGCAGCUGAAGAGAGAGGGGAGCCGCCUGAGCAAGAGUUGCGCUCCCUUGAAGAGCAGGCUCAAUGAACAAGUACAUUCAAGGAGGAGCUCACGCCAAAAGUUCAGAUCAGCCCUCCACCAGCAGUUCAAGAGCUCAAGAUCAGUUGUCAGCCAUCACGUCUGAACCUUCUACAACAUCACCCAGCCCUGACCAGGAAUAACAAAGUAAAGCACACCUACAGACCGAGCACAGCCCACAGCCAGCACUUCUGAAGGCAGAGUACAUCGACAUACAGGAAAGUUUGCCCCAACUGUGACAUGGUGUAGCGAUCAAGACUGGCAAGAUGGCGUCCACAACUGUGAUGAUCAUUUGCUACUGUCAAUACAUUUUUGCCUUGUGUUGAGGAAUGCACUGCAGGUUAGUUCAUGCUUUUACUUAUUAGUUGUGUAAAAAGUAAAGUUCAUAUCUACUAAAUUUAAAUUAAACGUUGACACAUUUGUCCAAAAAUAACUAAAAUAUUCUAAUUGUGUUCUCAUAUUUCUGCAAACUCAAGUGCACUCAAAUGUGUUUUUUGUAAUGUUGAAAAGAACUGCUGCUGUUUUGAUUUUUUUGAAACAAUAUCCUGUUGUUCCUCUCUUUGAGAAUAAAGUUUCUUGAAAAAUUGGUUGCAGUUUAUAUAAACAUGAGUCAAAUGAACUUAAUAAAAAAUCUAAUUACAGGUAAAACUCAAAACAUGAGAAUAUAGUGAAAAAGUUGAUUUAUUUCAGUAAUAAGACUCAUUCCAUACAAAGCCAGAUAUUUCAGCCUUUAUUUGUUAUAAUUGUAAUAAUUAUGGCUUACAGAUGAUGAAAACCCUGCAUUCAAAAAUUCAGACAAUUAGAAUAUUACAUUAAAAACAUCCAACACUGCUUUUAAAUAGAAAAUUGUCAGACAUAAGUACUUUGCAAUUGGUUUUGCUUUUACUAAAAUAAAUGAAUGUGCAACAUUCUAAUUUUUGGAGUUUCACAUGUUUUUAGAAAUUAUAUUGAUAUGAAACAAAAAUCCAUAAAAGUUGUUCUCAGCAGCUGUUCAACAGAGCCAUCCUUUUGGAAGUUAUUCUUUUUGCUAAAAUGGAAAGUUUUCUCCACACAUUUACCCAAUUUUUUCAUUAGGUUACAUGAUAACAUAACAAAAAAAUUAAAUCAGGACAACUCAUUUCAUUUGGAGACACAGGUGACACUUAGGAGAGCUGAUGUUACAUCUUUGGAGGAAUUAGGUUUAAAUAUCAGUUUUAAAUACUAUGAAUAGUCUCAUCAAACUCAAAUGGUUACAGUUUCCUACAAAUAGUAUAAAACUAGGCCAUUUGUAAAAAUCAUCCUCAUGAGAUUUCGAAUGACAUUGGCGUUUAAAAAAUACCACACUAAUUU